CAGCUAGCUGUGGGAUCACGGGCAAGUCUUGGAGUGACUCCACACCCACAGAAGGAGAGGGGGAUGAAGAAAUCUGCCAGGAGGGUGCCUCCCGCCAGUAUCUGAUGAAGCUCUCCUUUGGAGUAAUAUGUUGUCUGUGCCAAGGAUGGAAUGAAAACAGAGUAUGAUGGCUCAUCUUGACUUUUUCCUUACUUACAAAUGGAGAGCCCCAAAGUCCAAAUCCUUGGACCAGCUAUCCCCCAACUUCCUCCUUAGGGGCAGAAGGAGGAAAUGGAUCCAGCCAGAAGGAUCAGAGAGUGUCAGAAGAUCUGGAAACUUCCUCC
rnacentral:lncRNA from 1 species